rnacentral:rRNA from 1 species
UACGUAGGGGGGCAAGCGUUGUCCGGAUUUAUUGGGCGUAAAGAGCGUGUAGGCGGUUAGGUAGGUCCGUUGUGAAAACUCGAGGCUCAACCUCGAGACGCCGAUGGAAACCAUCUAACUAGAGUCCGGAAGAGGAGAGUGGAAUUCCUGGUGUAGCGGUGAAAUGCGCAGAUAUCAGGAAGAACACCCCGUGGCUAAGGCGGCUCUCUAGUACGUGACUGACGUUGAGACGCGAAAGCGUGGGGAGCGAACAGG